UACGUAGGGGGCAAGCGUUGUCCGGAUUUAUUGGGCGUAAAGAGCGUGUAGGCGGCUUGGUAGGUCUCGCGUCAAAACCUGAGGCUCAACCUCAGUUCGCGUGGGAAACCACCUAGCUAGAGUCCGGAAGAGGAGAGUGGAAUUCCUGGUGUAGCGGUGAAAUGCGCAGAUAUCAGGAAGAACACCAAUGGCGAAAGCAGCUCUCUGGGACGGUACUGACGCUGAGACGCGAAAGCGUGGGGAGCGAACAGG
rnacentral:rRNA from 1 species